GGGGGAAACAGAGAUUCGUGCAAGACGUGCAAUGAUGGCAAAGGGGUCGUUGCUCCAGCUAAGCCACUGCCUGAGUCCCUGGCAGAGGCCAAUGAUCCUUUCUAACAAGGGCAAAGCAAAAGUGGGCCAUAGGCCUAUAUCUGAUUUACGUGUACAGUGGUACCUCAGUUUAAGAACAGUCUGGUUUACAAACUCCACAAAACCGGAAAUAGUGUCUUGGUUCGUGAACUUUAACUCGGUCUAAGAACUGAAUCUGAACAGUGGAAGGGCACCAGCAGCAGGAGGCCUCAUUAGGGAAAGAGCGCCUCGGUUUAAGAACGGUUUUGGUUUAAAAACUGACUUCCGGAAUGGAUUAAGUUCGUAAACCAAGGUACCACUGUAAUGGUGUCUUCUUCCCCCCAGGGCACCUCUGCAAAUUUUGGCUCUGUGAGUGGGUGGAGGGUAAAGGAGAGCCUCUCUGCACCCACCGAAAGGGGCAACGGUGUGCAAGGUUCUUUGGGAGAAAGUGAAGGUCCCAGCAUAGGCACCCUGAACUUGUGAGUAGAGGGAUUCGAACUCAGGCCUCAGGGUCGGUUCUUGAUGGGAAGGGAAGGCGAUUUUGAAGCACCGACCCAUUGACUGGUAAAUAACAUUGUAAUAAUUUAUUAUUUAUUUGCAACCCACCAAACAUAAAAAAUUUCCCUAUAAGGUAUGUCUUCAGAAGCAAAGCUAAUUGGCUUUGUCUUGAGGUGGGAGGAGUAUAGGAAGAAGAGGUAUGGCUCACCUGACAUGGAGCUGUGGAACCUUUGGCCCUCUAGAGUGCAUUGCACUACAAUUCCCAUCAUCCCUUGCUGUUGGCCAUGCUGGCUAAGGCUGAUGGGGGUAGGAGUCCAGCAACAGCUUAAGGGACCACAGGCUCCUCACACCCCAUGGCCUACCACUUGCAAUCCCACAAAACUAGACCCCAAGGCACAAGACUGAGAAACCCUCCCUGGAGGCCUUGCUGUGCUCCUCACCCCACAGCAAAUGCCCAGGCAGUGACCCAUCUCUCCUCCACUGCUUUGGGAGGGCCCAGACCCCCAACUAAUCUGUGCUGCCCACACUGCACACCAACUGCCACACAGGUCUGUCUGGCCUUGCCCCUGAUUUUCCAGCGGGGUUCUUCGGAGAUGUGGUGGCAAUGGGAGCACAGCAGCAUGUGAGAGACGGGUGAAGCCAGCACAAUCCCAUGCUGCGGCCCAGAAACAUCAAACUAGGGUUGGGAAACCUGGUGGUGGGGAACUUUUGGCCCUCCAUAUGCUGCUGAAUGAGGUAUGGUUGAGGGAGCUGGGUACAUUUAGCCUGGAAGAGACUGAGAGGAGAUGCUAUAGCCAUCUGCAAACUGCAAAAGCCACGAGACGUUUGUCUGCUAGACAAACCUAACAAAUGCACAUUCUUGCUAGUUAGUAUGAGAAGAGGUUAAUACCACAGAGGUGUAUUACUGAAAGGCCAUAGACCUCAGACCAUAGAAAUAUAAUUGGCUGUGUGGUGUUGUUUCCAUUCCUCUCCUGGAUAGGAAGCAUAUAGUACUUCAUGUAGCUCUCGCUCUCCCUUUGACUAGUGAUGGAUGCAGACAUGCUUCUGCUAGCUCGAGUUUUAGGCACAUGCAUGAAGCUGGUUAUACUGUAAAUAUACCGUAUUUUGCCUGCAUGGUUUUUUCUGCUACUGUUGCUGUGAACCCAUGCAUGAUUAUAAAGUAAGUAAAUCUUACUUUACAAGUUGCUGCCUGUUUUUUUGUUUAAGUGGGGUAAGAAGGGGGAAGCCAGCUUACUUUGUUAGCUGGACUUGCUCAAAACAAAGUUUUAUAGACUAAUUCCUAUGCUUUAUUUUGUUUCAGCCCACAAACAUGGGUGUGUGGAGGGAUAAAUUGCAAUUAAUAUAUCCUCUGCUACCUAUUAAAACCCAGCCCCCACAAAUACCAGUGGCUUCAAGAAAGGAAACUCUGACAUCAGGAGGAACUUUCUGACAUUUAAGAGCUGUUCAACAGUGGAAUGGUCUCCCUCAGUAUGCUGUGGACUCACCCUUCACUGGAGGUUUUAAAUUAGAGGUUAGAUGGCCAUCUGUCGUGUAUGAUCUAGUCGAGAUCUUUGCAUUGCAGGGGUUUGAAUUAGAUUAGGUCCCUUCCAACUCUACAAUUCUGUGGUUCUGUUCUAUAUUUGUACCCUGCUGUUUCUCCUGACAGGGACUCAAGGCACCUUAUCCCUUAUCUGGAAGGGGAACAAAUCACCCUGAGCAAGGAAUUGUGGGUAGGUGGGUGGAGACGGAUUACUGAGGCACAGCCUCCAUGACUAGGCAUAGGCAAAGCCUUCCUUCCAUAAGGUUUCUGCCAAUCUCUCCCCUCUUGAUUUUCCUUGUAAGUUUUCCUUGUAAGCGUGAGGGAACUUUAG